GGGGGCGUACUUGGCUUCGACGUGGGUAGCAAAACCCAAGGGGCAUGCCGAGGUGCAGAAUACCUCGUAAAUCCAUCUGCAACCUUUUAGUUGCCAACGACGACAACUACGCACUCGCAGCUUAAUACCCUGUAAGGGUGCCGUCUGCCCGGUAUGUGCUUAUGCGUCCGGUCCCAGGCGUCGACUCACAUAAGAUCGCGAUGAUUCUCGUCCGGCGUUGAUUCGUUAAAACCUUACGGAAUCGUUAAUUGUUGUCCCUGCCGUUCGGGUAGCAGUUAAUUAAACUAAUAGAGUCGGCUAAGCAUGUAGAACCGAAGGCGGAGUACUUGCGGACGCGGGUUCGACUCCCGCCGCCUCCACCA
rnacentral:tmRNA from 1 species